rnacentral:rRNA from 1 species
CCUACGGGAGGCAGCAGGGAGGAAUAGUGGUCAAUGGACGAGAGUCGGAACCAGCCAAGUAGCGUGAAGGAUGACGGCCCUAUGGGGUGUAAACUUCUUUUAUAUGGGAAUAAAAUGUUCCACGUGUGGGAGUUUGUAUGUACCAUAUGAAUAAGGAUCGGCUAACUCCGUGCCAGCAGCCGCGGUAAUACGGAGGAUCCGAGCGUUAUCCGGUUUUAUUGGGUUUAAAGGGAGCGUAGGUGGAUUGUUAAGUCAGUUGUGAAAGUUUGCGGCUCAACCGUAAAAUUGCAGUUGAAACUGGCAGUCUUGAGUACAGUAGAGGUGGGCGGAAUUCGUGGUGUAGCGGUGAAAUGCUUAGAUAUCACGAAGAACUCCGAUUGCGAAGGCAGUUCACUGGACUGCAACUGACACUGAGGCUCGAAAGUGUGGGUAUCAAACAGGAUUAGCUACCCGUGUAGUC